UCUUGGUGUCCUCAAAUUGAAAGCCAAGGA
rnacentral:piRNA from 1 species